UCCGGUUUGUCACCGGCAGUCCCAUUAGAGUGCCCAACUGAAUGUGGCAACUAAUGGCAAGGGUCGCGCUCGUUGCGGGACUUAACCCAACAUCUCACGACACGAGCUGACGACAGCCAUGCAGCACCUGUGUCCAGGUUCCCUUUCGGGCACAGCCCCCUUUCAGGGGCCUCCAGGACAUGUCAAGGGUAGGUAAGGUUUUUCGCGUUGCAUCGAAUUAAACCACAUGCUCCACCGCUUGUGCGGGCCCCCGUCAAUUCCUUUGAGUUUCAUUCUUGCGAACGUACUCCCCAGGCGGGAUACUUAUCACUUUCGCUUAGCCACUCAGAUUGCUCCGAACAGCUAGUAUCCAUCGUUUACGGCGUGGACUAC
rnacentral:misc_RNA from 1 species